rnacentral:rRNA from 1 species
AGCGGCGGACGGGUGAGUAACGCGUGGGUAACCUGCCUCAGUACAGGGGGAUAACAGUUGGAAACGGCUGCUAAUACCGCAUAAGCGCACAGUACCGCAUGGUACCGUGUGAAAAACUCCGGUGGUAUGAGAUGGACCCGCGUCUGAUUAGCUAGUUGGUGGGGUAACGGCCUACCAAGGCGACGAUCAGUAGCCGACCUGAGAGGGUGACCGGCCACAUUGGGACUGAGACACGGCCCAA